AGUGAACGCUGGCGGUAGGCCUAACACAUGCAAGUCGAACGGCAGCACAGUAAGAGCUUGCUCUUACGGGUGGCGAGUGGCGGACGGGUGAGGAAUACAUCGGAAUCUACUUUUUCGUGGGGGAUAACGUAGGGAAACUUACGCUAAUACCGCAUACGACCUACGGGUGAAAGCAGGGGAUCUUCGGACCUUGCGCGAUUGAAUGAGCCGAUGUCGGAUUAGCUAGUUGGCGGGGUAAAGGCCCCCCAAGGCGACGAUCCGUAGCUGGUCUGAGAGGAUGAGCAGCCACACUGGAACUGAGACACGGUCCAGACUCCUACGGGAGGCAGCAGUGGGGAAUAUUGGACAAUGGGCGCAAGCCUGAUCCAGCCAUACCGCGUGGGUGAAGAAGGCCUUCGGGUUGUAAAGCCCUUUUGUUGGGAAAGAAAAGCAGCAGGUUAAUACCCCGCUGUUCUGACGGUACCCAAAGAAUAAGCACCGGCUAACUUCGUG
rnacentral:rRNA from 1 species